GAUGAACGCUGGCGGCGUGCCUAAUACAUGCAAGUCGAGCGAACAGACGAUGAUCUUGCUGUUCUGGAGUGAGCGACGGACGGGUGAGUAGUACGUGAAUUACCUACCUAUAUGACUGGAGUAACUGCGGGAAACCGUAGUAAUUGCCAGGAAAUAGAUGUAGGCGGAGUGGUGGAUAGUUUAGUACCGUUUUGCUGUGACUUCUAGGCCUAUCCGCGUGUCAUUAGGGAGUUGGUACGGUAACGGCUUACCAAGGCAACGAUGCGUAGACGACCUGAGAGGGUGACCGGCCACACUGGAUCUGAGACACGAUUCAGACUCCUACGGGAGCCAGAAGUAGGGAAUCUUCCGCAAUGGGCGAAAGUCUGACGUAGCAGCGCGGCGUGAGUGAUGAAGGUCUUCGGAUCGUAAAACUCUGUUAGUAGGGAAGACCAAAUGUGUAAGUAACUAUGCACGUCUUGACGGUAGCUAAUCAGAAAGCCACGGCUAACUACGUG
rnacentral:rRNA from 1 species